AGACACCGGAGACGGAUGACGAAGGAGGGCGGGGCCGUUGCAACGGCCCCGCCCUCCUUCGUCAUCCGUCUCCGCGCGCU
rnacentral:pre_miRNA from 1 species